CACAACCUGAGCAGAUACUUUGUAUUGAGGACAGCCGGGUGAUGAUACAAAGUACAUUACCACAAUGGGGUCACUUACGGACACCCUUCCUUGUGGCUGCACAGCGUGAGGGGAUUUUGGUUUUCUUUCAGGCUUGAAAGCUGAAGUGUUAUACUUCAACAAUUUGGGGGCUCGUUCCGGGAUUGGAAAGAGGAGAAGGAAUUCGAUCUUGUCCAGACAACCUACGCGAGAUUCACAGGUUCCGAGCCGGCUCAUGAUAAAGAAUUCACCAACAGAGUCGGAGAACAGAGGGACCUGCACCCGCUGGACCAGAACCUGCCCCAGGCGGAGCGGGUGUUGCUGAAGGUCAUCAAGCGAAAGUGGUCGGAGCCAAGGUGGACGGGUCCUCAUCAGGUGGUGGAGAGAACGAGUCAUGCGGUCCGCCUGAGGGACAAAGGAGAGACGUGGUACCAUUGGAGCCAGUGUACACCAGCGCAGGAGCCAGGAAGGUCGCUAACGGACCUCAUCCAAACCGGGAAGGAGGAGCUUUCCCCAGCGUGGACGGAAGGAGGACCAACACCAGCCGGACCGGUGCCAGGAGCGGACCCCAGGACACGGCGGGACUACGAGCGAGUGAAGGAGACAGAGGACGGCGCCAGGGGAAUAGACGCUUAGGGGAAAGAACUGAAGAAUACUGUAACAAAAGGGGGUAUAGGACACCGAGUGGCUCAUACCACUCGUACCAAGAUGACAGGGUUACAGAGAAAGGUCUGGGGAGAUGAUAGUAGAAUGA
ensembl:lncRNA